UACGUAGGGCGCAAGCGUUGUCCGGAAUUAUUGGGCGUAAAGGGCUCGUAGGCGGUCCGUCACGUCGGGAGUGAAAACUCAGGGCUCAACCCUGAGCGUGCUUCCGAUACGGGCGGACUAGAGGUAUGCAGGGGAGAACGGAAUUCCUGGUGUAGCGGUGGAAUGCGCAGAGUAUCAGGAGGAACACCGGUGGCGAAGGCGGUUCUCUGGGCAUUACCUGACGCUGAGGAGCGAAAGCAUGGGGAGCGAACAGG
rnacentral:rRNA from 1 species